UGAUUGUAAUUUGUACCUGAUUCUGAAAAGAAUCUCAGAUCUUUGUGAUAGGGCACAUGAUUUAAUUUAGUUUAAUUUAAUUUUGACACUGGCAAGAUUCUCAUUUAAAGUGCAGAUUUCCAAGUUUAUAAAUCUAUAGGAAUGACACUGGCUUAGAACCUUUAGUAGGCAGCCUGUCAUAACUAGUGCCUAUUAGUUAAAUUAAUGUAACAACGUGCACUUUUAGUGCUUGAGAAAGAAUCUGCUCCUCAAAUAUAGACCACAAAGACCUACAAAUGGUUAUUUAAUUAAACUCAUUUUUUCUUUUCAGAUACUUCCUCUGAAAUUUCCUUCUUUCCUCAGGUAUAGCAUUCUUACAAGAGAAUGUGAAUUUAAAACGCUUAAAUCAAGGAAAGUCCAAAUUGUGCUGUAAUGAGAACAUUAAAACUCACUCAGUGCUCCUCUCUUCUAAGUGAAUGUAUAUUUUUUAUAUGAAAUACAGAGGAAAUUGAACUCCUACCUUUGUGGUGAAAGAAGAACACAAAAUCUUCACUAGGAGCUGAUGGUUUGCUUCAACUGUAUAAGCACUUCACAAGGUUCCAGUUUCCAGCCUUUAACUGAGUGCCUAAGGCAUGUGUGUCCAACCUUUUGGCUUCCCUGGACCACUCUGAGUGAAGAGGAAUUGUCUUAGGCUGCAUAUAUGUCGGUCACUCUGAAAGUAAUGCCUCCUAUUUAUUUCCAUGGAAACUACAACAGAUACAAAGAGAGCGGUAACACUGCUUGAUAGAGAAAAUUCUCAGCUACAAAACACUAUUUUUCAACACAGUCAGUCACCACCAUGAGCUAUGCAUUUUCACCAAUGAUGAACAAGAGCCUGCAUGCCACACUCAUAAAGAUCUGCAUGAGCAAUGUGACCCACUUUCACUGUUACUGCUGCUGAAACACCCCAUCCACCGCCUCACUGUGCUCACUGUGCUCAGAUCCACUGGUUGGUCUCUACAGACAUUCAGCAAGUGUCAAUGGAUAUCAGUGGGAGCCAUUUUUUCUGCAUGGAGGAAUUCAGUGGCGCACUUUUCUUCACAUGCACUUCCAUGUCAGAUGGUAUUGUAUCAGAGUGCCCCUCUGCUGCCAUCUGUCACUUGACAACAAAAUGUGAUGGGAUAUUGGUGGGAAGGUUCAACUUGUACUGCCAAACCACUGACAACUGCCUUGAAUAUUGUGGACCAACAUCAUAAAACAGAAGGCAUUACUUUUGGGACAGCCUCAUAAAAUAUACAAUAUAGCUAAUGUGUAUAAGUAACAAAACAUUUUAAUUUUUAAAUUUUUUAAUUAAAACAUAAGAAGGGACAGCAACAAAACCAUAAAACUAGUGGGAUAUGUGAUUCUGUAUUUGUGAAACUAACGCUUUGGUCUGGUUCAGUGGCAGUGGCUGCCAUUCUUAGUACGAUCUCAAGAGGUUAAUCAGAGAUUUUUGUUGCAUUUUAUUUUUCCUGUGCUUUAUCCAUGAAAACAGUUGUUUGCAAGUAUACAUACUCCCAGAAAGUGAUGACAUGAAUAAGGUGUGACUAUGAAGUGAG
ensembl:lncRNA